rnacentral:tRNA from 1 species
CAAAUCUGCCAGGAUAGUUAAAUUAUAAACAUUAGGCCGUGACCCUAAAAACAGAGAUAUCUCUUCCAGGCC